rnacentral:rRNA from 1 species
CGGACGGGUGAGUAACGCGUGGGAAACCUGCCCUGUACAGGGGGAUAACAGUCAGAAAUGACUGCUAAUACCGCAUAAGACCACAGCACCGCAUGGUGCAGGGGUAAAAACUCCGGUGGUACAGGAUGGACCCGCGUCUGAUUAGCUGGUUGGUGAGGUAACGGCUCACCAAGGCGACGAUCAGUAGCCGGCUUGAGAGAGUGAACGGCCACAUUGGGACUGAGACACGGCCCAAACUCCUACGGGAGGCAGCAUG